rnacentral:rRNA from 1 species
CAGUCGCCGCGGUAAUACGAAGGGGGCUAGCGUUGUUCGGAUUUACUGGGCGUAAAGCGCACGUAGGCGGAUCGAUCAGUCAGGGGUGAAAUCCCAGAGCUCAACUCUGGAACUGCCUUUGAUACUGUCGAUCUGGAGUAUGGAAGAGGUGAGUGGAAUUCCGAGUGUAGAGGUGAAAUUCGUAGAUAUUCGGAGGAACACCAGUGGCGAAGGCGGCUCACUGGUCCAUUACUGACGCUGAGGUGCGAAAGCGUGGGGAGCAAACAGGAUUAGAGACCCGCGUAGUCCCUGUCUCUUAUAC